rnacentral:rRNA from 1 species
UACGUAGGGGGCAAGCGUUGUCCGGAAUCAUUGGGCGUAAAGCGCGUGUAGGCGGCUCGAUAAGUCUGCUGUGAAAGUUCAGGGCUCAACCCUGAAAUGCCGGUGGAAACUGUCGGGCUAGAGUCCGGAAGAGGCGAGUGGAAUUCCUGGUGUAGCGGUGAAAAUGCGCAGAUAUCAGGAGGAACACCAAUGGCGAAGGCAGCUCGCUGGGGACGGUACUGACGCUGAGACGCGAAAAGCGUGGGGGAGCAAAACAGG